CUACGAAGAUGAUAACAUGAACUCUCUCUUUCUGCAUAUUCCAUGUAGAAGCUUUCCCAUUUUGCUGAGUAGC